UACGGAGGGUGCGAGCGUUGUCCGGAAUCAUUGGGCGUAAAGGGCGCGUAGGUGGCGGGAUAAGCGUGCGGUGAAAGCUCGGGGCUCAACCCCGAGUCGGCCGUGCGAACUAUUCUGCUUGAGCACUGUAGAGGCAGGCGGAAUUCCGGGUGUAGCGGUGGAAUGCGUAGAGAUCCGGAAGAACACCGGUGGCGAAGGCGGCCUGCUGGGCAGUAGCUGACACUGAGGCGCGACAGCGUGGGGAGCGAACAGG
rnacentral:rRNA from 1 species